CUGAUGUUAAAAGAAAUCCGCAAUUGUCAGUGUGUCACAUGCAUGAAUCCCACUGCUGGAAGUUUUUCAGUAAAUCAGCAUCUUUGGGGCCUGGAAACCAGCCACACACAGAACAGAGAGAGAUCGAAGCAUCUGGUGAACUUCAGAGUUCCAUCUUUUGCGAAAGAUGAAGAGACUGGAGCAAAACUCUGCCUGAGGACCCACGUGCAAAUCCUCCAAGAGAGCCAUGCACCUGUGACAGAGCUGACGGAGCAGCAAAGCAGACAGGGGGCUUGAGAUCAGCUCCCCAAACAACCAGACCUCACUGAGUGACAGCUUGUUUGUGUCCCGAGUGAUGUGCAGGAUCUGGUUUGGAAUCUCACAAUGGAACCACUGCUCUGUGACAGCGACCGUAAUGUACUUCAAUUCAGUCCCCCCACAGGAGCAACAAAGGCCAAAAAAUCUACCACAAGAAUGAGCACUGAAAAUGAGGUAUUCUGUGUUUUGCCCAGUCCUAUCUGAACCACACCAAGGGGAAAAAACACCCUCAGGGGUCAUUGUUUACAUUCACAUUUGAGGUAAAGUCUGCUAGAGAUGGUCACUGGAGAAAGGAAUUCACAGAAGAUGAAUUGAGAAAAUGAGGUGCCUGUGGUGAAAUUCUGGGUAAAAGCACAAAAUUAACUGUCAUCCAAGCCCAAGAAGGUGAAAAAUGCAGCUCAUACUCCAAGUCUCUGUGUGAACCCAGUCCAGAGGGAACAUUUUGGGACCAUUUCCUGUGUUUUGGACAGAAUAGAAGCCCUGGUUAAAUGAAGAGAGAAAUGUAGCCACCCCUUCUGACCCAAGAGGAGGAAAAGAUUUUUCUUCAGUUUUACAGCCUAAGAUAUUUGUAUCUUUGUCAAGUUUGCAGUCCUGAUCAAUGGGAGAGUCUUGCUCAUCCGUCAAGCUCCAGCUGUUUCCCUGACAAUGCCUCAGGCCCUGUUAUCUGCUGCUGCCUUUCUGCAGACUCACACCAUCACCUGGAACCUGCUGAGUGCCAUCAAAUGAAGGAGCAGUGAGAACUCACUGGUGAGAUGCUCUCAAAUAUCAGGGGUUAUUUGAGAUUUGGGAUUUCCACCAAGAAAUGAAAGAAUACCAAUCAGGGCCUACAGUUGAACUUAAAUCCUGCAUGACUCAUAUGUGCAGCCUCGCUUAUGAAGAGCACAUUUCAUUGUUAUGACAGAACUGUUUGUUGAGGUCGUCUCCAAACUGAGUAGCAUUGUGACCUUCACCUAUAGUACAAAUUAUAUGAAUGAAAAAUGUGUUUUAUCAAUGCAUCAAAAAUUUAAAGCUAACAAACCUCUGAGCAGCGUACUGUAACUUCUGUUCUGUAAUUAAACCAGAGCCCCUCUCCCGGACAGGUUCACUCAGCUUUGCCUUUCUUUGAGUAAUACACCUUCAGACCAGUAUUGUUUUGAUGUAUUACAAUGAUAGACUGAAGAGUUCAUGUAAUAUAUCAUGACAGGCAGCAGUUGCUGGACGCUAAGGAUUGAGAGACCGAGCCAGCUGUUUUUCUGAUGUGUUCUCGUAAUGCAUCACCAGCUGAGGGAAACUGAUAAUGUAUUACUUCAAAAUGACACCACCCAGAAAAGGAAGAGUCCAGAGGAGCAGAUUCUGUAUAAUGAGGCAUUCAAAGUAUGAAAUGGGGCUGCAAACUCCUGGAACAGGAUGUUGGUAAUAAAUCAGCUUUCUAUGGUAGAAACACAUUAGCUAUGAGGCUACACAGCUACAUACUGCUGUCUGAUUUCCAGUGCCUCUAUGUGGUGCUGGUUUUGUGCAAAGCAAAGAUAACCCUAGCAGCAGUUUUACCUUCACUUUUCUUACAACUAAACACUUCACAAGCCAAGCAACUUAGAACAGGGGAUAAGGCAGAAUUAUAUUGGCUCAACACAUUCAAAUACCUGGGAUUCCUCCUCAUCCCAGGGUACUGUCAGAACUACUUGUAUGCUACUCUUUUAGUGGCAUGCCAUGGCAAUGGCACAGACAAGAAUGGCCUUUUUUUGGGAGUAUUACAUCCUAAAGGGACAGAAUGGGCUGGCCCAGAGCACUGCAGUGGUGAUUGACUUUUCCUGCAGGUUGACUGAAGGCAAGAAAGGCUCUUUUGGCCAUCUCUUCAUCCCUUCUUUGUUUAUCUUUCACCUGCCACACACACAAAGAGUCAGGCCAAACAGUCAUUGACCCCAAUUAAAAAGAAAAUUAUUGGAACAGAUAGCAAUUCUGAACAUUUGCCUACAAAACUUUAUCUCUUUUAUGAAGCAAAUUGUGUAUGUGUAAAAGCAUUUCCUCUGAAUUUAUUUUUAACCCUAAACUAACCAUGGGAAAACAGAAAAACUGGAAGAUAAUCUUUUAAAAUCCUGAGUUACAUCUCUACUCUAGUUCUUUUACGUACUCGUUUGUUAAAAGCAAUACUGUUUAUAAUUUUGCAUAUAUAAGCAGCAUUAUAUUUUUGGCAAACCCUUGAAAAGAAAUAGGUCCUACACUCAAAUUUUACUUUUUAUUUAUGGAUGGUUUGUACUGCAAAUAAAAAGAAAUUCUAUUUUAUUAACAAUAAGUACACUUUUCUGCCCAUAGUCAAUUAUUCUAAAUCAUGACUACAAGAUAUUAAAUAUGGUCUUGUGACAUGUGAUUCUAAGUCAGAAAGAUUCCAGUCUCAUAUACAGAGACGUCCAUACGCACAGAACUUUGCGAGCUCAGAUUUGAUCAGGGAUUUUUGAAGAGGAGCCUUGCCUGGCAGACUCCAUACAGGGUUGGGUAGAGAUUGUGUGCUCAUGUCUGAUCCAUCUACUUCAGUUGCUCUCUUCAUCUUUGGUACUCCAGGGAGCUGGGGGUUUUCCACCCCUGCCUGCCAUUCAUCUCAAAGCCAGUGCUUAGCACUUUGCAAGGACAAGUUCUGUAAAAUCAUAUCUGCAGUUCCUGCAGUUCUGGGUACAAAAUAGAUUAUGGGUGCAAAAUUCCAAGUGCAAAAGAUCUCAAUAACCUACCAAAGAUUUCUUAGAUUAAAAAAAAACCCAAAACCAAGAAUUUUCUGUGCUUGCUUUUUCAGACUACCUUGUUUCAUUCCCAAGAUUAUAUACAUGAUUGGCCAUCAAUAUCGAAGCACCACAGAAACAUUUU